GAGCCGGUGGUGCAAGGGUUUGCACGCGCCUCCGGGAAGGGUGAAAUGCGAGUUCGAAUCCCGUCCGACGUCCG